rnacentral:rRNA from 1 species
AUGGCACCCAAGGAAGCCACAGGAGCGGAACCAGGCGUUCCUCACAUGUCGACGGCGACUCACCUAGAGCCAAGCAGCCCCAAAACCGAAGAUCGGGCGAGAAAGAGGGUGAGCUGCCAGGAUGAAGGGCAACAGCAAGGGCCAAGACCAAAACACAGAAGCUUGACACUCUCGGCGAGCUGGAGGGAAAACCACCGGAGGAGGGGAACCCUAUCCCCUCCCUUCCUGGAGAUCCACGGCACCGGAGGCCCUCAAAGCCGCACGAAGAGCACCACCAUAACAGCACCCCGCACCAGGGAAGGCAUGGCUGCCGCUGGAGACUUGCUGUCGCCGCCGCCGCACACCAAACCACACCACACCGAAGCCCGCCGCCCCACUUGUUCCCAAAAACGGCGUCUUCAAGAAGAUUACGGCGCCUGGGGCAUCGCCGCCGUCCAACAAAGUUUGGGUUUUCACCCAGGAAGCAAGGGGCAUGGGAUGGGGAGGACAGGACCUGACCGGCGCCUCCAAGGAAGUGAGCGGCGCCCACGGGCGUCGCCGCCGUCGCGCCAGCAAGGCUGGCUAGGGGUUUCCCCCGGUCCUGGAACCCCUCCAUCUGCUCCCACCCACCGAAACCAGCCCCCCAUGUCGAAGCAGACCGGAUCUGGAGGGGGGAGGAGCACGCCGCUGGAGAGGUGGUGUGGAGGCGGCCAGAUCUGA